rnacentral:rRNA from 1 species
GACGAACGCUGGCGGCGUGCUUAACACAUGCAAGUCGAACGGUGAACCAGAGCUUGCUCUGGGGGAUCAGUGGCGAACGGGUGAGUAACACGUGGGCAACCUGCCCCAGACUCUGGGAUAACCCCGGGAAACCGGAGCUAAUACCGGAUAUGACCACUUCGGACAUCCGAUGGUGGUGGAAAGUUUUCGGUCUGGGAUGGGCCCGCGGCCUAUCAGCUAGUUGGUGGGGUAAUGGCCUACCAAGGCGACGACGGGUAGCCGGCCUGAGAGGGCGACCGGCCACACUGGAACUGAGACACGGUCCAGACUCCUACGGGAGGCAGCAGUGGGGAAUAUUGCACAAUGGGCGAAAGCCUGAUGCAGCGACGCCGCGUGAGGGACGACGGCCUUCGGGUUGUAAACCUCUUUCAGCAGGGACGAAGCGAAAGUGACUGUACCUGCAAAAGAAGCACCGGCUAACUACGUG